GAUGAACGCUGGCGGCGUGCCUAAUACAUGCAAGUCGAGCGAACGGACGAGAAGCUUGCUUCUCUGAUGUUAGCGGCGGACGGGUGAGUAACACGUGGAUAACCUACCUAUAAGACUGGGAUAACUUCGGGAAACCGGAGCUAACACCGGAUGAUAUUUUGAACCGCAUGGUUCAAAAGUGAAAGACGGUCUUGCUGUCACUUAUAGAUGGAUCCGCGCUGCAUUAGCUAGUUGGUAAGGUAACGGCUUACCAAGGCAACGAUGCAUAGCCGACCUGAGAGGGUGAUCGGCCACACUGGAACUGAGACACGGUCCAGACUCCUACGGGGGGCAGCAGUAGGGAAUCUUCCGCAAUGGGCGAAAGCCUGACGGAGCAACGCCGCGUGAGUGAUGAAGGUCUUCGGAUCGUAAAACUCUGUUAUUAGGGAAGAACAUAUGUGUAAGUAACUGUGCACAUCUUGACGGUACCUAAUCAGAAAGCCACGGCUAACUACGUG
rnacentral:rRNA from 1 species